CUGCUCAAACGAGCUUACAGUCUAUUGGAGGUGGAGUUUAAAACACAUUAGGACAGGAAAUAGCAAUCAAACAAGGUGGGAGUGAAGCAGAGCUGGAGGAGAGAGUAGAGUGCUGCCCUUUAGGAGAGAGCAAGAGACAGGUAUGUGAGGUGGAGGUUAGUCUGGGAGGCCAUAAGCUUUCCUAAAGAGAUGGGUUUUAAGGCACUUCUUAAACAAUUGAAGACUAGGGGAGAGUAUGAUGGCGGUAGGCAGGCUAUUUCUUAGGAAGGGAGCCGCCUGCGAGAAGUCCUGCAAGCACGAGUUGGCCAUACGGGUGCGAGCAGCGGACAGAAGAAGGUCAGAGGCAGAGCGGAGAGCCCGAGAAGGGGCAUACCCAUGGACCACUACAAAAUUGAGGUAAGAAGGCACACUAUAGUGGAGAGAGAACCAGUGGAGCUGGGGGGAAGUAAAAGACACACAAAAUAAGCUGAGUGAGAAGAAGACACACAAAACGGGCUAAGAGAAGCUGGGGAGGGAGAAAGACACACAGAGAAGCUGGGAAUGGAGAAAGACACACAAAGGGGGAUGAGACACACAGAGUUGCUGGGAGAGUGAGAGACACACAGAGGGGAUAGGGAGGGAGAAAGAGACACAGAGCAACUGGGGAUGAGAAAGAUACACACAGAGGGGCUUGGGGGAAGAGACAGAGAGAGGCUAAGGGGGGGAAAUG